CCUACGGGUGGCUGCAGUGGGGAAUAUUGGACAAUGGGGGCAACCCUGAUCCAGCCAUGCCGCGUGUGUGAAGAAGGCCCUCGGGUUGUAAAGCACUUUCAGUGAGGAAGAACGCCUGGUGGUUAAUACCCAUCAGGAAAGACAUCACUCACAGAAGAAGCACCGGCUAACUCCGUGCCAGCAGCCGCGGUAAUACGGAGGGUGCGAGCGUUAAUCGGAAUUACUGGGCGUAAAGCGCGCGUAGGUGGCUUGAUAAGCCGGUUGUGAAAGCCCCGGGCUCAACCUGGGAACGGCAUCCGGAACUGUCAAGCUAGAGUGCAGGAGAGGAAGGUAGAAUUCCCGGUGUAGCGGUGAAAUGCGUAGAGAUCGGGAGGAAUACCAGUGGCGAAGGCGGCCUUCUGGACUGACACUGACACUGGGGUGCGAAAGCGUGGGUAGCAAACAGGAUUAGAUACCCUAGUAGUC
rnacentral:rRNA from 1 species